CCUACGGGUGGCAGCAGUGAGGAAUAGUGGUCAAUGGGCGUAAGCCUGAACCAGCCAAGUCGCGGGAGGGAGGAAGGUGCGAGGGAGAGUAAACCUCUUUUAUAAGGGAAUAAAGUGUGGGACGUGUCCGAUUUUGUAUGUACCUUAUGAAUAAGGAUCGGCUAACUCCGUGCCAGCAGCCGCGGUAAUACGGAGGAUCCGAGCGUUAUCCGGAUUUAUUGGGUUUAAAGGGUGCGUAGGCGGCCUUUUAAGUCAGCGGUGAAAGUCUGUGGCUCAACCAUAGAAUUGCCGUUGAAACUGGGGGGCUUGAGUAUGUUUGAGGCAGGCGGAAUGCGUGGUGUAGCGGUGAAAUGCUUAGAUAUCACGCAGAACCCCGAUUGCGAAGGCAGCCUGCCAAGCCAUGACUGACGCUGAUGCACGAAAGCGUGGGGAUCAAACAGGAUUAGAUACCCGAGUAGUC
rnacentral:rRNA from 1 species